rnacentral:lncRNA from 1 species
UUUUUUGGGGUAUGGAGAUUUGCUUGAUCAAUUCAUACAUUCUUUAUAAACUAGAAAAAAAGAAAAGAAAAGAAAGGCCACUAAAUCAUUUGCACUAUCUAAAAACACUUGUGGAGCAAUUGAGAGGACCCUAUCAUUGCCAUUGUGAUCAAGCGUCGACGUCGAUCAUCAGUGAACCCCGACUAAAUGGAAAUCUCCAUGUUGUUUUGAAAGGGGGUAAAGAGGGAUUGCAAGGUUUGCUCUGACCGUAGUAAGCCUGGCGGUAGGCGUGAAACCUCGUAUUAUUGUGAUACGUGCCUUGACAAACCGAGGAUGCAUCUCGGGGAUUGUUUCAUAAAAUAUCACUCAAAAACCAACUACAGAGUGUAAUAUUUAUUAUUUUGUUUUAUUUUAUUAUUUUGUUUUGUACAACAUAAAAAAUAAAUAAAUUGUUGAAAUUUUAUUAUUUGUAUACCUUUGUUUGACUAUAAAAUCAUUUUAAAGUAUUCGUAGAAUGCUUCUCUAAUAUAGCUGAAAUCAUCUUGAGUUGCUCGUUAGCCUGAGCGAAAAAGGUCUCGAGUGCAAAGGGUUAAUAGUGUUUUUUUUUUUUAUUAUUUACUUAUACUUGUGAAUUCUAAGAAGUUUUGUAUCAAGAACUAUUUAUAUAGAGC